rfam:Candidatus Buchananbacteria bacterium RIFCSPHIGHO2_01_FTLL_39_14 rifcsphigho2_01_scaffold_48088, whole genome shotgun sequence.
GAGAUAGCUAGGCUGGCGCGCUGGUCCUGCGCUGUUACCGUGAACGGACCUCACACGGAGCCGAAGCCUAAUUGAAGGCCUCAAGAGCGUUCAAUGGCCUCUUGUCUAACCGUCGAAGUCCUGUCCUGUGGGACUCUACCUCAUCGAAUCGUGUCAGAUUGGGAACAAAGCAGCACUAAGGUGAACGUAGCAGUGUUCGCAGGGUCGCAGGAUGGAGGAAAGAUAAGAAUCAACCAUGGAUGUUCUGGUUGUCGACAGUUGGGCGUGCCUC